GAUGAACGCUGGCGGCGUGCCUAAUACAUGCAAGUCGAGCGAACAGACGAGGAGCUUGCUCCUCUGACGUUAGCGGCGGACGGGUGAGUAGCACGUGGAUAACCUACCUAUAAGACUGGGAUAACUUCGUGAAACCGGAGCUAAUACCGGAUAAUAUAUUGAACCGCAUGGUUCAAUAGUGAAAGACGGUUUUGCUGUCACUUAUAGCUGGAUCCGCGCCGCAUUAGCUAGUUGGUAAGGUAACGGCUUACCAAGGCGACGAUGCGUAGCCGACCUGAGAGGGUGAUCGGCCACACUGGAACUGAGACACGGUCCAGACUCCUACGGGAGGCAGCAGUAGGGAAUCUUCCGCAAUGGGCGAAAGCCUGACGGAGCAACGCCGCGUGAGUGAUGAAGGUCUUCGGAUCGUAAAACUCUGUUAUUAGGGAAGAACAAAUGUGUAAGUAACUAUGCACGUCUUGACGGUACCUAAUCAGAAAGCCACGGCUAACUACGUG
rnacentral:rRNA from 1 species